rnacentral:misc_RNA from 1 species
GUGGGAGCGGGCUUGCUCGCGAAUGCGGUGUGUCAGCAAGCAUUUACUUCACUGAUACUCCGCAUUCGCGAGCAAGCCCGCUCCCAC